rnacentral:rRNA from 1 species
UGGGGAAUAUUGCACAAUGGGCGCAAGCCUGAUGCAGCGACGCCGCGUGAGGGAUGGAGGCCUUCGGGUUGUAAACCUCUUUUAUCGGGGAGCAAGCGAGAGUGAGUUUACCCGUUGAAUAAGCACCGGCUAACUACGUGCCAGCAGCCGCGGUAAUACGUAGGUGGCAAGCGUUGUCCGGAUUUAUUGGGCGUAAAGCGAGCGCAGGCGGAAGAAUAAGUCUGAUGUGAAAGCCCUCGGCUUAACCGAGGAACUGCAUCGGAAACUGUUUUUCUUGAGUGCAGAAGAGGAGAGUGGAACUCCAUGUGUAGCGGUGGAAUGCGUAGAUAUAUGGAAGAACACCAGUGGCGAAGGCGGCUCUCUGGUCUGCAACUGACGCUGAGGCUCGAAAGCAUGGGUAGCGAACAG